rnacentral:tRNA from 1 species
GGCGCACGGUUCGCCCGAGCCUUACAAGCGGGGGGUCGCAGGUUCGAACCCUGCCGCGCCC